UUCCGCCGGGUUUCCGGAGAAGACGAGUGGCGACGGCGUAGAAUUUCGGCAGAUCGAACCAGUGUACGGCUUCGGCGGAAAUGAUUAGAUCUACGGUGUUCUCCUCGCCGAUUGAUUUUACCAUCUCGUCUUCGCUCAUCGACGCUGGUAAAUGGAGGUAUUGAACCCUUUCGUGCUUCAUUGCGCAUUCUAAUUGCGAUUUGCUCACAUCGAUUCCGAUUACUUUCUUGUAAUGCUCUGCAACCUGGAAUUGAAUCGAAAUCAAAUUGAAAUUUCGUGAACAUUCCUUACGAUAAUUGAUUAAUUAGAUCGAUUUAAAGGUUUAAGAGACUGACGCCAAGAGCGGCUUGGCCGUUGCCGGUGCCGAAGUCGCAAGCGAGGGAGUGGCCGGCAGUGAGAGCAGCGAGUCUGGAGUACCAUUCGGCGGGGUAAGAUCUCGGCCUUCCUUCUAGGUACUUUUCGGCUAAAUUCUCCUUCUCGUACUUGUCCGCCAUUGUUGCAACCUUCGAAUCGGUGUUUGAUUUGGAUAUGCGAGUAUAUCAAUUUAUACGCAGGGCCUUGGUUUGGAUAUUUUAAAAAAUUACUUCUUGGGUCGAUUAAUAUAUGAAUUUCGAGUGGAUGAUCGAUAAAGUGAUACAAAAAUCAAGAGGAAAAUUUUGAAGUUCGAUGAAUCUUGCGGAAGUUUAUUGUUGUGUUUGACAUUAUGUCGUCAAAACGGUGGAACGUUCAAACACGGCGCUACGGAAGAAUACGAAGACGAUGACGCCAUCGUCUUCCGAUUCUAAAUUACAAAUUAAAUAAUGAAUUAGAAAAUAGUUUUUUUUUGUUUCUUU
rnacentral:lncRNA from 1 species